rnacentral:rRNA from 1 species
UGAGCAAUCUGCCCUUCACAUCGGAAUAACCAUUGGAAACGAUGGCUAAUACCGAAUAUGACUUCGGAUCGCAUGAUCUGAAGUGGAAAGCUCCGGCGGUGAAGGAUGAGCUCGCGGCCUAUCAGCUUGUUGAUGAGGUAAUAGCUCACCAAGGCGAUGACGGGUAGCCGGCCUGAGAGGGUGACCGGCCACACGUGGGA